CAGCCUGCUACCUGUCUAUCUAGUUCUCAUUGGAGGGUCCAAGGUCAACCAAGAUGGUGGCCCCUGGGUUAAGUUUAGAAAGUAAAGGCCAGGGACCAUCAGUGAGUCUGGAGGUGGUGGAUUCAACACAGAGGUGUCACUGGAAUGGCAGAUGGUAUAUAAGUCGGGGGUGACAUGCAUAGGGCUCUUCCCCAUGCCUGGCAGGUGCCAAGGAUUGGCUCCUUCCCUGGGUCUGUCCUCCCUGGCCCUGGAGCCAUCUGGUAAGACAUGACACGAGAGUGCUUGGUGUUAAGUUGUGUUUUUACACAUUUAGUAUCGGAUCCAAGGCAGAAGGGGACAAGCUGACCUGGCUGGCCUCAAAGUGCCCUUCCCUGUACCUGAAACACUCUACAAUCACCCCCUAGUGACCAACACAGGAUCAGGGUGCUGGAGACUCAGUUGGUCUGCUAUGGCCACCACAGCCCUGUUGGGAUUAUACCUGGCUACUCCUCCUUCCCAUAGAUGGGGACUACUAUGUCUAUAUCCCUUCCCAUCCUCCAGUACAGGUAAGACCACACACCUAUCCAGAUCCCAGGAGAGGCAGCCUAGGGGUAUCUGGUGGUCCAGGGAGGGCAACUCUCCAGAACAGCAAGACCAGCCUCCUCCCCUCCUCCCCAGCUCCUGUUCCUCUUUGAAUGAGGGUAGUCUGUCAAGAUGGAGGGAACCUAAAACCUUGGGCCACAAGAGCUCUAGGACAAGAGAGAGAAGGGUUCCCCAUGGAUGCUGCAGAUGCCAGGAACCAAGUGCAGCUGGGGGGCAGAUGGGGUGUGCUGAACUUGAGGCUACUGCCCGCCAUCAUUAGCAGAUGAGAUUCAAUUCCAGGUUGCUGCUUUCAGGGGCUUUACCUAACCUUUGGAAAGGUAAGAUUAACACCUCGGGAUGGAGGGAAAGUUAAACCUCAGGGCCUCUGCUUUGCAAUUCUGAUUCCCAGUCCUGAAACUGGAGAGUGCCUCCUGGGGCUAUCUGCCCAGGCUCCUGAGCACUUACUUUCCACAGUUUAUAGAACUUUCAUCUUAAGGGCACUCAGCCAAAUGUGCAGCCACCAAACUGCCCCUCCAAGGUGCACUCUCAUAUACAUGACUGGAAAAGUCUCAAGCAUCAAGGAUCAAUGCUCCAGAUUUCUCCCAGGGAUGCCUGGCUCCCACGGGUUCCACGGGGAUAUUAAAAAUCUUCCACCCGUCACGCUGACUUCCCCAUCGACACCUGCCUGGAAGAAGCCAUCUAGCGUGCACCUCUGCACCAGAUCCAAGCCAAGUCAGCCUUGCCAGAGCAGCUGGCUGUGCAGACACCCGUCUGUGUUCAAGCUGCAGGAGUAGGAGCAGGCCCUCAGGAUUUUCACAAAAUGGACGGUGGCAGCAUCAAUGCCACAAGGAACUCUGAGCAGUCUGAGGACGCCACCCAGCACAGCAACACAGCCAUUACGUUCUAAGUCAUGCCGAAUCACUUCCAAGGAAAGGCUGAUCUGUCUCCCGAUAGUGUCUCCUCCCGCUAACGUGAUAGGCCUGCAGAUAUGCAGAAAGAUAUACACUCACAGAUCUCUGAAGCCUCUCUUCUCCCAAUGCGACAGCCAAGCAGUUCCAGGCAGGCCUGGUACCAGCUGCUGACUACAACUGUCUCCACACCUUGCAAACCCAGAGGCACAGGGUCCCCCAAAACUAAGUGGGCAGGAAAGCUUGUGAUUCCUCUGAUAUACUGAACUGCAGUAUAAAUCUCAUUCAAACAGCGGAUCCUCCCCUGCAUAUCAGUGCACGUGUGUGUGUGUGUGUGUGUGUGUGUGUGUCACAUGCCACACACAUGUACACCCCUGGUGUGACAACAUGCUGUACAGAGACAGAU
rnacentral:lncRNA from 1 species